AUGGUUGGUGCGGUGCUCGGCACUGAUCUUUGUCCUAAUAACCUCUGUCAGUUCUACUCCUGGUGCUAUGCCUUCCUUCCCCAUGGGGAACGCUACUUCACCAUGGGACUAGCGGCAGUUUGCUGGGCUAUUUGGAACUGCAGAAACCGAGCUACUUUUAAACAUAAGAGAAUGUCAUCUCCUUUUGAGAUUGUUUUCACAGCUUGUGUGCAUCUGAAUUACUGGGCAGGGCUCUUGAAAGGCGCGGAGUGGGAGGAGCUGGAGCACGGCGCGCUGUCGUUGAAGGAUACUGCUAAGAGGAUGAUGAGGUUGUGUGCGACAUCUCACGUCGAGGGAGAUCUGGAAUGA
rnacentral:rRNA from 1 species